rnacentral:lncRNA from 1 species
GUGAAAUCCUGUGAUUCUGGGAUCCUGUGAUUGUGAGAUCCUGGAUGUGUCAGAGCUUCUGGGAGUCAAGCUGCUUCUGUGAUCCUGUGAUUCUGUGAUCCUGCAAUCCAGAGAAUGGUCUGUUUCCUGUGUCUCUCAAGAGAUGAAGGAGAAAAGGCCCAUCUCUGUGGGUGUUGAACCAUGGGGUUAAGGAAGGAGCUAGGCUCAAGAUUCAAGGGGACAUAUGCCUGACCACCCACCAGCCAACAAUGCAACUCUGGAUACAAGUGCCUGUGUCCUUCCUCCAGUUGCUGGAAUUUAGCUACUAGAUCUAUGCUCCAUCAGCUUCCAGGAGCUCCAACCAUGAUGUCCUGGUCAUGCUGGUCAAGAACGGUUCCCUCAUCCCAACCCCUGACUUGGGUUUGCAACAUGUCCUGGAACCUGGACCACCAGCACCAGCAGAUGCUGUAACAAAAUUCCUGAACAGGAUGUGAAAGUGUUUCAGCUGAGCCUUGAGAGGUGAACGUACCUUGGCACCUGUCCCCUGGAUGGGACAACUUGAGGAAGGGCCAUCCAUAUUCCUGUUUCCUACCCAGGACACUGCUAAUGUGCAUAUGAGGGUAGAAAUCAAGAGAUAAGAUUGACAAAGAAUCAAGACACUGAGUCCUGGAACUUUCAUAGAGAGGAGGUUUGUAAGAAUGAUGAGCUUCUAAGUUGGAUGCUUUACAACCUAGUCAUGAACAGUCCAUGAAGAGAAAAGGUAUUGGGGGGGACAAGCUGAACCUGAUAUGUUUCGUACUCAACACAGGAUGCCAUCAGCCUGGCACUGCUUUACUACACUGUUAAGAGUCCCUGUCUGUGACAUGGAGGCAUGUCAGUACCUGGUACUGAUAUGGAGGUGUCCAUGAGAGUCUGAUGAAACACCUGGCUGCCCCCAGUGAGGAGAGUGGAAUGAAGUCAACCUCUGCUUUAUUCUCACAUUCUAUGAGUCUGGACAUCAUGAACGAGGAUGUUGGGA